UGGUGGAGUGAUUUGUCUGGUUAAUUCCGUUAACGAACGAGACCUCAGCCUGCUAAAUAGUUGUAUCCAACUUGUUGGAGAAUGACUUCUUAGAGGGACUUUGUGCAGCAAGCCAAAGGAAGUUUGAGGCAAUAACA
rnacentral:rRNA from 1 species